UACGUAGGGUGCAAGCGUUGUCCGGAAUUAUUGGGCGUAAAGAGCUCGUAGGCGGUUUGUCGCGUCUGCUGUGAAAACCCGAGGCUCAACCUCGGGCCUGCAGUGGGUACGGGCAGACUAGAGUGCGGUAGGGGAGAAUGGAAUUCCUGGUGUAGCGGUGGAAUGCGCAGAUAUCAGGAGGAACACCGAUGGCGAAGGCAGUUCUCUGGGCCGUUACUGACGCUGAGGUGCGAAAGCGUGGGGAGCAAACAGG
rnacentral:rRNA from 1 species